UGUAGGAGCCGGCUUGCUGGCGAUGGCGGUGGGUCAGGCGAUUGAUUUAUUGGCUGGCAGUCCGCCAUCGCCAGCAAGCCGGCUCCCACA
rnacentral:misc_RNA from 1 species